rnacentral:rRNA from 1 species
GGACGAACGCUGGCGGCGUGCCUAACACAUGCAAGUCGAGCGAGGAGAUUCCUUCGGGAUGAUCCUAGGCGGCGGACGGGUGAGUAACACGUGGGCAACCUGCCUCAUAGAGAGGAAUAGCCUUCCGAAAGGGAGAUUAAUACCUCAUAACAUUGCAGUUUCGCAUGGAACAGCAAUUAAAGGAGCAAUCCGCUAUGAGAUGGGCCCGCGGCGCAUUAGCUAGUUGGUGAGGUAACGGCUCACCAAGGCGACGAUGCGUAGCCGACCUGAGAGGGUGAUCGGCCACAUUGGGACUGAGACACGGCCCAGACUCCUACGGGAGGCAGCAGUGGGGAAUAUUGCACAAUGGGGGAAACCCUGAUGCAAGCAACGCCGCGUGAGUGAUGACGGCCUUCGGGUUGUAAAGCUCUGUCUUCAGGGACGAUAAUGACGGUACCUGAGGAGGAAGCCACGGCUAACUACGUGCCAGCCGCUGC